CACCGGUGCCUCGGAUCCCUCCGAGGUUAAACGGGAACACGGCGCGGAGAGUCCCUCUCCCAUGCCGUGGCUGCCCCCGCAACUGUAAGCGGCGAGCGGCGAUCCCUCAUGCCACUGGCUCUACAAGCGCCUCCGGCGCUGCGGAGUUCGGGAAGGCGGAUCGUGCGCGAUGACCCGCGAGCCAGGAGACCGGCCGGAGC
rnacentral:ncRNA from 1 species